AUGAUUAUUUUAGCCUGGAAGUGCCAAGGAUUGGGGUUGGACUCGGCAGUUGGCGAACUUUGGGACCUGGUUAGGUCAUACAACCCAGAGGUGGUGUUUCUUUCGGAAACGAAGAAACGAGUGGGGGCGAUGGAGACAUUAAAAUGGAGAUUGGGGUUCAAUCAUGGUGUGGCGGUGGACUACAAGGGAAAGAGUGGAGGAUUGGCACUUUGGUGGCGAGAUCAUGUUGAUGUUACGGUGCGGCCUUGGUGUCAGUAUUACAUCGAUGCUAAAAUUAUGGCUGAUGGAAUUCCUUUUAGAUUCACUGGAAUUUAUGGGGAACCAUGCGUUGACAAGAGAAAAAAAAUGUGGGAGGUCCUUCGAUAUCUCAGGGCACAGGAUGACCUACCAUGGUUAUGCGCGGGAGACUUUAAUGAAGCGUUGUGA
rnacentral:rRNA from 1 species